UGAGCAAUCUGCCCUUCUCAUCGGAAUAAGCGUUGGAAACGACGUCUAAUGCCGAAUACGACCUCCUUUCGCAUGAUCGGAGGUGGAAAGCUCCGGCGGAGAAGGAUGAGCUCGCGGCCUAUCAGCUAGUUGGUGUGGGUAAUGGCCCACCAAGGCGACGACGGGUAGCCGGCCUGAGAGGGUGACCGGCCACACUGGGACUGGGACACGGCCCAGACCACCCGUACGGGGAGGNAG
rnacentral:rRNA from 1 species